rnacentral:rRNA from 1 species
UGGGGAAUAUUGGACAAUGGGCGCAAGCCUGAUCCAGCCAUGCCGCGUGAGUGAUGAAGGCCUUAGGGUUGUAAAGCUCUUUUGUCCGGGAAGAUAAUGACUGUACCGGAAGAAUAAGCCCCGGCUAACUUCGUGCCAGCAGCCGCGGUAAUACGAAGGGGGCUAGCGUUGUUCGGAAUCACUGGGCGUAAAGCGCACGUAGGCGGACCAUUAAGUCAGGGGUGAAAGCCUGGAGCUCAACUCCAGAACUGCCUUUGAUACUGAUGGUCUCGAGUUCGGAAGAGGUUGGUGGAACUGCGAGUGUAGAGGUGAAAUUCGUAGAUAUUCGCAAGAACACCAGUGGCGAAGGCGGCCAACUGGUCCGAUACUGACGCUGAGGUGCGAAAGCGUGGGGAGCAAACA